CACGGGCCCUUAGUGGCAGUCUGUGCUGACUUUGGUGCAGUUUGUGUUUUGGCAGAAGACUGGGGAAGGCUCACAAUGGACAGAGGGUGCAAUCAGGCUCUCAGGGAGUAUUAAUACAACUGACGGCUAAAGAAGGUCUUCGAACAGAGAUGAAGUCUUGCUAUGUUGCCCAAGUUGGUCUGAAACU